rnacentral:rRNA from 1 species
AGAGUUUGAUCAUGGCUCAGGAUGAACGCUAGCGACAGGCCUAACACAUGCAAGUCGAGGGGCAUCGGGACGUAGCAAUACGUUGCCGGCAACCGGCGGAUGGGUGAGUAACGCGUAUGCAACCUACCCGUAGCAGGGGGAUAGCCCGUUGAAAGACGGAUUAAUACCCCGUAACACAGGGGCUCCGCAUGGAGAUUAUUGUUAAAGGGUCAUUUCUUUUAGAGGUGGUCCGGCUGCGGAUGGGCAUGCGUUCCAUUAGGUAGUUGGUGUAGGUAACGGCUCACCAAGCCGACGAUGGAUAGGGGAACUGAGAGGUUGGUCCCCCACACUGGUACUGAGACACGGACCAGACUCCUACGGGAGGCAGCAGUGAGGAAUCUUGGUCAAUGGACGGAAGUCUGAACCAGCCAUGUCGCGUGAAGGAGGACGGCCCUAAGGGUUGUAAACUUCUUUUGCAGGGGAAUAAAGUAUUCCACGAGAUGGGAUAUUGCAAGUACGCUGCGAAUAAGGAUCGGCUAACUCCGUGCCAGCAGCCGCGGUAAUACGGAGGAUCCGAGCGUUAUCCGGAUUUAUUGGGUUUAAAGGGUGCGCAGGCGGGAAGUUAGGUCGGCGGUGAAAUUUCGGGGCUCAACCCCGAGAGUGCCGUUGAAACCGGUUUUCUUGAGUGCGGAUGAGGUAGGCGGAAUUUGUGGUGUAUCGGUGAAAUGCGUAGAUAUCACAAGGAACACCGAUUGCGGAGGCAGCUUACUAAACCGUUACUGACGCUCAUGCACGAAAGCGUGGGGAUCAAACAGGAUUAGAUACCCUGGUAGUCCACGCAGUAAACGAUGAUUACUAGCUGUUUGCGAUACAGUGUAAGCGGCUUAGCGAAAGCGUUAAGUAAUCCACCUGGGGAGUACGUUUGCAGA